UCCUGCAGCGUGCAACCACUACUGGGGCAGCUCACGACUCCUCUUGGCCAUGGACCUCAGAGCCCAUACAGGUGAAAUGUGAGACGUAACUUUGCCUUGUGUGGCCCUAAUGAACAUAAGGUGGGCAAAGCUGCUGGAGCAUCCUCAUGCCAUGAUCUUCGAGGAGCAACAUCGCAGCGCAGUGCCUUGUCAUGGUGGGGCAUGGCAUUGAGAGCUGCUGGCCACCAGGAGGGAGACAAAGGGAAGGUGACCAUCUUUCCGAAAUGGAGCAUGUAGCAGCUGCCUGGGAUGCUGCCUUGCAAAAGUGGUGGGGAAGUAUUUACAUUAUUAAACAUUGUGAUGACAAGUGUCUUGGGAUCUUGCAAGGCUGUAUUGCUAAGUAAGGCAACAAGCAGUGUAACUCCUGGCAUGUUUUGAAGUUUACCAGAAAUGCUGCAGCUGCCCAACCCAAAGAACAGAGAGCUCUAGACAUUACGGC
rnacentral:lncRNA from 1 species